AAAACCAGUCUUUUUAUACUUAGAUUUGAUACUUAAUGCAUCCUUUUUUACUUAGAAACUUGCUUGGACUUAUGACUUUGCUUUAGUUUUGUGAAUAAGAGAGUUGAGGAUAUACUUGAUGAUUUUAUUACUAAAUUCCCUUGAUUUUGCAGGUUUUUGGAAUGAUUUGAAAGAAUGGUUGAAGUAUCAAGGAGUUGCAGUGCAGAAAAGUCAACCAGAAUGCAGAAAAGUCAACCAGUCAACCAAAAAAGUCAAUGAUACGCGGGGCCCAAGUCCAAUUUCUUUAGUUUAGUAUUUCGUUGAUGUAUUUUGUAUUGUGUUAGGCAUAUAGGACCUCUAGUCCUAUAAAUAGUCAUGCCUACCUUAUUGUACUUCACUUUUGAGCUUAAUGAGAAUUUGAUUUUCUAAAUCAGAAAAUAUUAUCUCUUGAAAGUCAUAGGCUAGAGAGUCCAAAGACUCCCUCUAGCCACCUUCCAAGCACAUUCUCUCACUUCAUUUUCCAUUUUUCCACCGUGCUUCUCUCUCCUCACUAACACAGAAUUACCUCUCCUCUAAUAAGCUUCAAGCACGCAGCCACACGUCUUUCUCUUGAAGCUUCGUCAGUCGCAUCUCAUUUGAUGCCUCAUUCUUCUCUCACACAUAUUAUCACUUUCAUUUCGCGUCUUCUCUACGAAACACAAACCACCUCUGCUAGGGUUUCUUGUUCCAGUGCCUUUACACCAUUUCCUCAUCACAGAUCCACCAUCGUGGCCAUUUUCACCGGUAAGAACUACUCCUCUUCAUAGAUCCAUCCUCCUCCUCCAUCUUGUUAGGUUUUCUACUGAUUAAAAACCUUCAUUCAUCAUCUCCGUCCAUUUCUACCGAUUGAUUCGGCUUUUAGACCGAUUAAACACCUUUCCAACCUUCGAUCUUCCAUCUCCACCGAUUAAAACACCAUUCCCACCGUUUAAUCGGUCCAAAUCCAGUUUCCCCACUUUUCUAGGGUUCCAUAGGUCAUCCUAGGGUUUUUAGAGUUCUUCGAGUCUCAUAUACAUUCCGCUGCGUAUUUCUUUGCCGGAGAAGCUUCGAGGAGGUCGAAUCGGGUUCGCACAACUCCAAUCCGGCGUUCUCCUCAAGGCGUCUCGUAUCAGUCAAUCAGUCAACCAGUAACCAGAAUGCUGAAAAGUCAACCAGAGUGCAGUUUCAGUAUUGCAGGUGGCGUUGAGCGCCAGUCUCUGGACCAUUUUUUCAGUAUAUUUCACUUGGGCGACACUGUUGGGGGCCAUUCUGAGUGUUGCACCUACCGCUGAGCGGUACUAUAUCACUGAGCACUAUUUUCGUGGAUCUGGGCCAAUUUUUCUAUUAUUUUUAUGAUUUAGUUUUGGGCCUGGACCCGUUUUCUGUUAUUUUUCUGCCCUAUUUAAAGACCUGGACACCCUAGAGAAUGUCUCUCUUGAUGGCUUAAG
rnacentral:lncRNA from 1 species